GUACCUUUAGCUCAAUUGGUUAGAGCAGACGGCUCAUAACCGUCCGGUCGUAGGUUCGAGUCCUACAGGGUACA
rnacentral:tRNA from 1 species